rnacentral:rRNA from 1 species
AGUGAACGCUGGCGGUAGGCCUAACACAUGCAAGUCGAACGGCAGCACAGUAAGAGCUUGCUCUUACGGGUGGCGAGUGGCGGACGGGUGAGGAAUACAUCGGAAUCUACUUUUUCGUGGGGGAUAACGUAGGGAAACUUACGCUAAUACCGCAUACGACCUACGGGUGAAAGCAGGGGAUCUUCGGACCUUGCGCGAUUGAAUGAGCCGAUGUCGGAUUAGCUAGUUGGCGGGGUACAGGCCCACCAAGGCGACGAUCCGUAGCUGGUCUGAGAGGGUGGUCAGCGACACUGGAACUGAGACACGGUCCAGACUCCUACGGGAGGCAGCAGUGGGGAAUAUUGGACGAUGGGCGCAAGCCUGAUCCAGCCAUACCGCGUAGGUGAAGAAGGCCUUCGGGUUGUAAAGCCCUUUUUUUGGGAAAGAAAAGCAGCAGGUUAAUACCCCGCUGUUCUGACGGUACCCAAAGAAUAAGCACCGGCUAACUUCGUG